UCUUGAGUAUGGUUGAGGUAGGCGGAAUGAGUAAUGUAGCGGUGAAAUGCUUAGAUAUUACUCAGAACACCGAUUGCGAAAGCAGCUUACCAAGCCAUUACUGACGCUGAGGCACGAAAGCGUGGGUAGCAAACAGGAUUAGAUACCCUGGUAGUCCACGCAGUAAACGUUGACUACUCGUUGUUGGCAAUACAGAGUCAGCGACUAAGCAAAAGCAUUAAGUAAUCCACCUGGGGAGUACGUCAGCAAUGAUGAAACUCAAAGGAAUUGACGGGGGCCCGCACAAGCGGAGGAACAUGUGGUUUAAUUCGAUGAUACGCGAGGAACCUUACCUGGGCUUAAAUGUAAGAUGCAUGAGGUGGAAACAUCUCUUUCCUUCGGGACUUUUUACAAGGUGCUGCACGGUUGUCGUCAGCUCGUGCCGUGAGGUGUCGGGUUAAGUCCCAUAACGAGCGCAACCCUCAUCGCCAGUUACCAGCACUUAAAGGUGGGGACUCUGGUGAAACUGCCGGUGCAAACCGCGAGGAAGGUGAGGAUGACGUCAAAUCAGCAUGGCCCUUAUGCCCAGGGCUACACACGUGUUACAAUGGUCGGUACAAUUGGAAGCUAUCUCGCGAGAGACCGCUAAUCCUUAAAGCCGAUCUUAGUUCGGAUCGGAGUCUGCAAUUCGACUCCGUGAAGCUGGAUUCGCUAGUAAUCGCACAUCAGCCAUGGUCGGUG
rnacentral:rRNA from 1 species